UAAGUCCAUGGCUUCGUAUAACUUUGCUUGUAUAAUUCUCUUCUCUACAAUCUUUUUUGUCCUCUUUACGCCUCAUCAAUGUAAGUUCAUUAUAGACCUUUAUUUUUUCUAUUCCAAUCAAUAUUUUAAAAGACGUAAAGUGUGAUAAGACGACAAGAUCAAAUCUAGGUAAAGUCUAAGCAAAAUCUAGAUGAACUUUUUAGAACGGUGAUUCGAAAUUUUUACUCAUGGAAAAGAGUUAUUUGCCUUCAAACUUGACUUUCGUGCAUUCCAUUGUAGCCGAAGUCUUGAGGGUUGAAAGGUAAGAAUAUAGGAAUCAAAUUGACAUAUUGAUCAAAUCAUAUAAUUUUCCCCUGAUAUUGGAGAUAACACAUAAAUAACAAAUCAAAAUGUUCCCCCCGCCCCAUCUCUGUGCUGCAUUAGUUAUAAUAAUAUUGAAAAGAAGAGCAAAGCAUUCAGCACUUGUUUAGUCAACGGUGCUAUACCUCGGUAUGGAAAUAUAAAAAAACAAAAUUAAUUUUUUUUUCUAAUUUAACAUUUCUGUUUAUUUUCGACCUAUCAAACAUAUAUUUAUAAAGGUUCAAAUGUUAUUUAUUAAUAUCUUGCCUGCGUUAACUUAUAAUUUAAAUAGGGAACAAGAACAAGAGCACAAUUUAAGAGGAAGAUGUGAAAAUGAUAGCAUGAAGAUUGUAAAAAUUUUAAUGUAUUGCUAUAAUACUCACUUAAGACAGGAGAUUACAUGCUUAUAAUUCUCUUAAGAAAUAACGAAUAAGAUUUUAAUAUUUUUUCUGAUUAAAAUUUUGUUUAUUGCUAUUGAGUUUGACCUAUCAAAUAUGUAGCAAUAAUGGUUCAAAUGUUCACUAUUAAUUUCUUGUCUGUAUAUUUUGUUUUAAUUUCUUAAUUUUGAUUUAAAUAGGUCACAUAAACAAGAAUGCAAUUGAGCAGGGAGACACAGAGAUUAUAACACCUUCGAACGCAAGUCAAAGUGAUUUAAAGGAGGAAAAAAUAUAUCUUGAUUUUUGCAAGAUGGAUAAGUGUUAUUUUGGAAGAUGCUGGUGUUGUCAUAGACCUGGCCAUUAUUUUCAAGUAUGCUUUCAUCAUCAUACUGUGUGUCAGGCACUUUGCCCGACUUAUCCUCCAGUAGGGAAACAUCGAAAAAUUUUACCAUGAUCAUUUUAUAUUUGAACAUGUGUAUGUGUAACACAUAUAUAAACUGAAUAAUUUGGUUUUCGA
rnacentral:lncRNA from 1 species